CGGCGCCCAGCGGCGGCGCGAACGGCCGCGAGGAGGGUGUCUCCGCGCUCGGUGCUCACCGCGACUUCCCGUGCAGGGCCCGGCUGGACAAGGACCUGCGGCCUCUACGGGGCUGGAGGAUGCGGCCGCGGCCCCCGGCAGCAGCAGCGGGAAGCCCGGCGCCUUGCAGGUCAGCAGUUGAGUAGCUGGGGCCCCUGAGGGCUUGAAGCCUUCACAGUGAUGGCGGAGAAGCGGCCACUGGGGACCCUGGGGCCUGUGAUGUAUGGCAAGCUGCCCCGCCUAGAGGCAGACUCCGGGCCCGGGCACAGCCUGCCCCCCUCUGCUGGUAACCAGGACCCCUGCAGCUACAAGGGUGCCUACUUCUCCUGCCCUAUGGGGAGUGCUCCCAAGGCAGGGUCUGAGCGGUUGGCAUCUUGGACCCCAUAUCCACCCUUGUACCCUACCAGCGUGGCAGGACCCCCUCUUCGGACGGACAGCCUGUUGACCAGCUGCCUGCUCCACCGCUCACCAGCAGAAAGCUCUGAGAAGGUGCAGGACCCUGGUCCUGUUGAGCUCCUGCCCCUCGGUCCCCAGUCUCAUUCCUACCCAGGCCCACCGUUGGCGGCACCCAAACCUGUCUACCGGAACCCUCUGUGUUAUGGGCUCUCGACUUGCCUGGGGGAUGGGGCAGCGAAGAGGCCACUGGACGUUGAUUGGACGAUGAUGACUGGACCCCUCUUAACCCCGGCUGACCCAUCUUGUUCUCUGACCCCAACUCCUGGCAAGGGCCCAUCCCUAGAUGGCACCUUCUUGCGUGGGGUGCCAGCUGGCAAAAAUUCAGUAAGCUUCUCCCCGUGCCAGGCAUUUCUGGAGAAGUAUCGGACCAUCCACAGCACAGGCUUCCUGGCCUCCAAGUAUGCAGGUCCUUACUCUGGGGAUCCCAAGCAGGCAUUGUCCGAUGGACCCCCCAGUCCUUGGACCCAGCUGGCCCAACCCCUGGGGCCAGCCUGCCAGGAUACAGUGCCUACCCCCUACCCGCUCCCUCACCCUCCACAGGCUCUGCCUUGCCCAACAGCCUGUCGCCACCCAGAGAAGCAGGGCAGCUAUAGCUCAGUGCUUCCGCUACAGCCUGUGGGAGCCCACAAGGGGGCUGGGUACCCAGCUGGUGGGCUGAGCAGCCCCUACCUGAGGCAGCAGGCCGCCCAGGCACCCUAUAUGCCCGCAGUGGGCCUGGAUACUUUUUCCUACCCCUCUGCCCCACUCCCAGCACCCUCACCAGGCCUCAAGCUGGAGCCACCUCUUGCUCCCCGGUGCCCACUGGACUUUGCUGCCCCCCAGACACUGGGCUUUCCUUACGCCCGUGAUGACCUCACUCUCUGUGGAGCAUCCCCAGGGCUUGGAGGGACGCCACCUUCCCAAAACAAUGUACAGGCUGUGCCGCAGCCCAGUGCCUUCCAGCGAGCAUGCCAGCCCCUACCCGUCAGCCAGCCCUGCCCAGAGCCCGGGAGGCCUGCAGAGGAGAAGAUGUGGCUGCCCAGCUGCAGGAAAGAGCAGCUCCGGCCCCAGCUCGGUGAGCACCCCGGAGCACCCAUUGUCAUUGGAGAUAGCCCGGUUCCACGCACCCCUCCGGCGCUCCCGCCCUGCGCCCGGGAGUGCCAGUCUCUUGCGCCAAACGAGGGCGCGCUGCCGCCCAGCUCUCCACCCAUGCCGAUUAUCGACAAUGUCUUCAGCCUGGCCCCCUACCGGGACUAUCUGGACGUUCCGGCACCCAAGGACACAGCUGAGCCUGAGCCAGUCCCAGCCCCCGGUGAGAGCCCUGCCAAAGACUGGGGGGGGGGCCUGCCUGCCCGGGAUGCCCUUUCGAAGGCUCACUGCUCACUUAGAGAGGAGGUAGCCCUGGACUUAAGUGUGAAGAAGCCUGUGGCAGAGGCUCCCAUCAGGGUUCCUAGUCCUGCGGUGCGUGCCAAGCCCACGGCAGCCCUGGAUGCACCAGCUGUGGGGAACACAGUCUCGGAUCUGCCAGACCUGGAAAAGAUGGUCUCGGAGGCACCGGGGCUGCCUGGGGUACCGGCGACCACCGAGGCCGCCCCGCGGACCAACUUCCACAGCUCCGUGGCCUUCAUGUUCCGAAAAUUCAAGAUCCUCCGGCCAGCACCCUUGGCUGCAGCCACGGCCCCAUCGGCGCCCACCCCUGCCCCUGCGUCUGCCCAGCCUGUACCAACCCCCACAUCCGUGCCCCUUGGUCUCCAGAUUCUCACACAGCCCUUGCCUGUGGCCUGCUUCAAUCUGGCGCUGCCCAGCCCUCCAGCCGUAGCCAUGGCCUCCCCAACCCUGGCCCCGGCCCCAUCACCUGCCCCGGCCCAGGCUCCGGCUCCAGCUUCUACCCCCGCGGCGGCGGACUCUCCAGAGCAACACUUCACAGGACUGCACGCUUCCCUGUGCGAUGCCAUCUCGGGCUCAGUGGCACACUCCCCGCCCGAGAAGCUGCGUGAGUGGCUCGAGACGGCCGGGCCUUGGGGCCGGGCGGCGUGGCAGGACUGCCAGGCUGUGCAGGGGCUGCUGGGCAAGCUGCUGUCGCAGCUGCAGAGCUUCGUGUGCACACAGCAGUGCCCCUUCCCCCAUGUGGUGCGGGCCGGGGCCAUCUUCGUGCCCAUCCACCUGGUGAAGGAGCGGCUCUUCCCACGGCUGCCUCCCGCCUCCGUGGACCACGUGCUGCAGGAGCACCGCGUGGAGCUGCGGCCCACCACGCUGUCCGAGGAGCGGGCGCUGCGCGAGCGGGCCCUGCACGGCUGCACGUCACGCAUGCUCAAGUUGCUGGCGCUGCGCCAGCUGCCCGACAUCUACCCCGACCUGCUGGGCCUGCAGUGGCGUGACUGCGUCCGCCGCCAGCUGGGUGAGCAUGGGGCAGCCCCAGUGGCCACCGGAGCUGUGUGAACGAGUGACAGGUGUGUGGGCUGUGUGAGUGGUCGCAGCCAGGGCUGACGGACGCUUGGGCCUCGGAAGGCACGGGGAGGCCCAAGAACUCGUGCUGGGGAGGGUGCUGGCCAUCCUGGGGAGGCCCUGUGGACCCCCCCCCGGCAUUCCUCCUCACCUGGGUACCACCGAGGGCCUUCACAGCGUCUGCUGCAAGCCUCUGAGCGGGCCCGCUGCUCUGUCCCUCUGGAAACUUCUUGACCUCCUCCGAUGCCGCCGCUUCCCGGCUUCCCUCCUCCUCUGCUGUGCCUUCUCUGGCCUCGGUGCAGACUUCUCUGGGUUCUGUGGCUCUGACGAGGCCCUGUUCUCUAUCUGAGGUCUCUUCCCCCUGUGUCUGUGUCCCACCCAGUGUCCCUUCUUCUGAGCUUGAGCCCCAAAUUACUGAAUGCAUGCUGGCCCUUUGCACCUGGUAUCUCUCUGACCCUUAACUCCUUCCAGACCCACACUCCUGAGAUUUCCCCUAAGCCCUCUGCCCUCCCCCCACUGCCUUCUCCACCUCAGUCAAUGGCACCUGAUUCCCGAAAGCGGGGACUUCUCCCCCCAAACACGGCUGCCUUUUGAAUGUGCAGUGUUUCGGUCCUCCCAGUAUUUAUAUUCACGGAAGUGCACCUGUAAGUCGGAGCGAUGUUUUGUCGUUUGCUUUUCUCUUACUAAAUGACAUCUUGUGCAUAUUGUUCUCCAGCUUGCUCUUUUUAUGUUCUGGAGCAUCAUGUGCAGUGGUUCAGGUCGCUUGGCCCUGCUCUGGGCAGCUGCUGCGGGGUCACGUGCUGUGUGUACUCAUUUCUUCGGCCAGGACUUUGGUGAUGGUGCCAGGUGGUGCCCCUUGUGGCCUCUCCUGCAUCAGGACACCUGGCACAUUGAGGCCUGAGGCCUGUGACCCGCUCUGUAGUCUUUCCUUGCUGCUCUGCCAUCCUGCCAGCAGGCUUCUGUCUGGGCUGUGUCUCCACAGGAACAGUUUAGUUUCUCGUCAUCCUGGCAGCCUUGCCCUGGGCUCUUACCUCGUCCUGGCUCCAUGUCAGGGUGGGGAGCACACCCGAGGCAGUGAGGCACAGAUGGGGAGCUUGGUGUCUGGGUGAUCAGCAAUGCUGACCCCAGAGCACUUAAGAGGUUGGAGCGUUUGCCCUAAUGGGUGCUAAGAAAACACAAGUGGGAGUGUUGCUGAGCGGGGUGGGGGGUGUGUAUCAUGCAUGGCUCAGAGGCUCCAGCCCUGUCCUCUCCCUGGACAGUCGGGCUGUGGGGCCCAGAGAGGACAGGGCCGUAUUUCCCGGGCUGCCGGCUGGGUGCUGGGGCCCGGGUGCCCCACAGUCCCCUCCUGCCCUGAGCCUGCAAGGGUCUGGGGCCUAGUGCAGAACUGAUUGGGAGCCAGCUCCUUCCUGCUGCAGGCUGGAUUUGGCACCCCAGUCCCCACUCCCUGAGCUGUGACUUUGACACUGAGGCUGGAUCUGUGCCCUCCUCAGAACCCACCAUGGCCAGAGAUGAGCCGGAGAGCCUAGCCCUGGCUUGGAAG